rnacentral:lncRNA from 1 species
UUCACUUCAUCACUCUUAUUUUUUUCAACUUCCACACUUUCUUUAUUUUCUACUUCACCAUUUUUUUCAUUCUUUUCAACUUCUUCCUCACUCCAUUCCCCAACUUCACCAUCAAUGCUAUCCUCUAUUUUUUUUCUCCUCAUCUUUUUUCUCAUCCUCUCUUUUUUCACUCUCAUCUCUUUUUUUACUCUCACUAAUCA